GCAGCAUGUGACAGAAGGAAGUUUUUCUGAUGGGCUUACUUCCCCACCUCCCUGAAAGCCAUAAAUGCUGACUACUUGUCUUUAAUUGGUUAAUUCCCUUCAGUUCGAUCCCUCUGUGAACUCAGAGUUUCUGCACGCUUCCAAAAUAUUUUAAAAGAUGAGAUUUUAAUCGACUUUCUCAAUAGUGGUCAGGACAUUCCCAUUCCCCAAGGAAUUAAAGUGAAGUGAGAUUCAACAUGAAGAAUUCACAAGGGAUUGUGUAUUUGUC
rnacentral:lncRNA from 1 species